rnacentral:lncRNA from 1 species
CCGCGAUCCUAUUACUCACCACCGUAUGAUCGGCGUCGUCGUCGUCGCCGUCGUUAUAGCCCGAUCGACAUCGAGAUGGAGAAAGAAGGCGACGAUCAUGUUGUUGUAAAAUCUCUCUUUAGGAGGAUGGAUGGAUGGCUGCAUGUGUACAUCAUCAUCAUCAUCUUGUUGUGUUUUUGCAAGUAGUGUGUUAGCAGAACGAAGCGCCGGAUCCAUCGUUGUUAAUUAUCUCAUGACCCUGUGAUCGAUGACGAUGAUGUAUCGGCGUAGCGCUGUUGAACUGAAAAUGUAUAUAGGACAAAGAUGGAUUGCCCGUCGCCGUUCUCCCCUAGUGUUUGUUGUUGCGUGUAUGCAUGCAUCGUUUCUCGUCUUGGCAGAGCGAGCAUGGAUGAUUGAUAUGGUAUCGCUUGCAAAAUGAAAUUGAUCGGGCGUUCUUUUUUAUCUGCUCGUAUGCUCUUAAAUCUUUGAUUGUGUUCUCAUCUUGGGCAACUUGGCUAAGAGAAGGCGAAGUGGAGGUGGGGGGCAUGUGAUUUGGGUGGGUAGACCUCGACAUCAUAGGCACAGUGGCAACACUGGUGGAAGAAGAGAAGGAUUAGCGAGGGAGGACAGGAGGGGAGAGGCAAAGCAAGACGUAAGCUGCUCUUGGCAUAACAAAAGGUAGCGAGGAGAGGGGAACCCGUGGGGCCCGUCCUUCUUUGGCAAGGAGAAGAAGAGAAGUGGAUGAGGAGGAGCGAGGGAGGGAGGGGACACGAGUAGCGUGCGGCUUUUCUUCUUCUUUCAUUCAGGCUUAACGAACCAGGCAGACAGACGUCGCUGGCGACAAGAAGGCAGGCCUACUGUUUAGCGCUGCCUCUCCACAUGCCGAUGCCACCACCUGAUCCAUGUCGAGAGUCGCCUAAUUUUGUUGUACCCUGCUUGCUUGUUUGUUUGUUUUCCAGGUAAUAUAAGUUUUCACAGGCGGUAAUAUACGUUUUCAUCGCUAAAAUUAGCAAGAAGCACCAGUGGUCUAGUGGUAGAAUAGUACCCUGCCACGGUACAGACCCGGGUUCGAUUCCCGGCUGGUGCAUUAGUUUUUUCUACACAACGAGAUCAGUUUUCCAAAUGCUACGACAAAGCUAUGACACUUGCUAUUGGGCUUACCAGUCAUGAUAUUUUUUCUCAAUCUUGCAAUUUUAGCAAAAUGCUUCUGAGGUGAGAAGAGGAUCAUUGAAUGUUUAUUGGCAACCGACAAGUUCAGAUGUUAUUACCAGUCAUGAUAUUUUUUCCCAAUCUUGCAAUUUUAGCAAAAUGCUUCUGAGGUGAGAAGAGGAUCAUUGAAUGUUUAUUGGCAACCGACAAGUUAAGAUGUUAUUACAACUGUGUCUUCCUGACGUGGGAGGCGAGUGAUCAAUAAGCUCCACCUCCAUGCUAGAAUGGAUAUUUGUCGUUCUUCUCUUACCGGUCCUUUCCUACACCUUCUACUCGUAGCCUCUUCGCUGACCCUUUUUGUUGGCGCCAACCAGCACCACGUCGGUACCAGUGUGUUUGUCAGUGACGCAUCAUCUUCUUCUUCCUCAUUCCUCGCCAGAUUUAGUUCUUGUUCCUACUUAUUUUCUAGAAUACUCUUUGUUUUCUUCUUUUUUCACUUUAUUUGUUUGAACACUAUUUCCUUCUCCAACAUCAUGUAUCACUUGGCCGCUUUAAUUAUUUUCCCUUCUUAUUCUUGAAACACUCUUCCUUUCUACUACAGCAUGAACCACCUGGCCAAUGUAGUGUUGUGUUGUCCUCGCCCAUGAAUGUUUCGGCAACCGUCGGCGUGUGGACAUCCUGCAAAGCAUGGUCGUCAUCCAUCUUGGUGAAUGCUUGGUUGCCCAUGUCGCGAGCGCAUGGUGGUCGUUGUCCAUGUUGGCAGGCAGUGCUCAACCAUGUCGCUGAGAGCUUGUUGACUAUCAUUGCUCACGAGCGCUUUCAAAAUGAUUCGGCGCGAUUAACCGCCUACUUAAUUAAUUACUUGCACAAAUAAUUAAUGACCUAUCCAAUUCUUUGCAUGCCUAACUGACUACCAACCAAGUUAAUUAAUUAUCUGCCUAAUUGGGAAAAAUUCCUACCUCUAAUUAUUUGUAGGCAUAAUUAGUUGUCUACCUAAUGUAUUAAUUGCAUUAAUGACUGACUUGGUUUCUAAAUAGAUUCGAUGUGGACAAAAAAUUCUAUUUAAAUGGACCUAAUUAAUUUCAAAUGCAAUUAACUGUCUAGAUAAUUAAUUGCAUUAAUGUUUUGAUUUCCAAAUUAAUUUAGCGCCUUGAUUUUCAAAUUAUUUUUGCAUGAAUAACUGCUACGAAUAACGACUACGUAAAUAUUUUCUUUGAUAAUAGAGAAUAUUACACAUUUAACACACCUCUUGUAUAGUUUAAUUGAACCUUUGUGGUAAGACGCUUUUGCAGUGGAUUCAUUUCUACAAGGCCCACCGAGUGUUCUAGGACACAUCUCCUUAAAAAAUUUCACGACUUUUGAAUGACUACACUUGAUUUUAGAAUGUAGCCCGCCUCCUCUGUAUGUCUGAUAAGAAAUAUAACAUGAUCGCGUCCACAAAUGCCUAUACGUGGCGGUUGACGACCCGUCUUCCGCCACGACCGUCCUCGACGCUGUGCUCCAUGCCCUGACAUUCUGGAACAUCGCGCCGAUGUCUGGUCCGGUCAUGGCAUCCUCCAUGGUGUCACACACGGGAUUUCUCCGCAGGGGCGCGCGAAUGUGUAUAUAAUAAGAAUAAAGAUAUGUUAUUUUUGUUUAGGAAAUUUUUGAUUGGCAAUUAAUAGUAGAGAUAAUGAUAAUAAUAAAUGACAUAGUGUGCAGGAUUAGCGAUUUGUUCUUGAUGAAUAUCUGAUUUUGUUUUGGAAGGUUAUCGAGAAAAAUCUUAUGUCUGUCUAUUAGCAAGGUGAUCUCACAUAUAUGAUGCGUUUUCUGAAUUCUUAAUUACCUACUCCAUCCGUUCCUAAAUAUAGGGUGUAUAGUUUUUGGCACGGAAAUUAAAAAACGCACGUGGAGGGAAAAUUUCACAAGUUUUGGGCGAGAUUGCACCUGACUAAUUGACAUGAGAAAAUAGAGGAGCUUGCCUGAUAUAAGAAAAUGUAAUCAAAUCCCUAAAAAAAAUUAUCCAAACGAGUGGUGCAACGCAAUACACCAUAUAUUUUGGAUUUUUUUUAUUAAAAAUCUAUACACCUUAUAUCAAGGAACGGAGGGAGUAUUAUUUACAUGAUUGAAUUAAAUCAGCACUGCUAAAGCAACCACGAGACAAGAUCUCCCCUUUAAUGGUAUUUGGUUUUUUAAUGGGAUGGAGAAAAAUCCAGUGGGAGGGGAUGGUGGGAGGUGAGAGGGAAAAAACUAGAUGAAAAAACCGUGGGGCGAAGCUACCAACUCCCCCUUUAGGAGUAGAGUUAUUUUCAAAUAAAACCAUGGAAAACGAGCCUUUUUUCGAAUGUUUAUUGACAACUGGCAAGUUAAGCUGUUAUUAAAACCUUUUCAAAUGAAACCAUGUAUACGAUCCCUUUUUCGAACACUUGCUAUUGAGCUUCCAGUCAUGAGAUUGUCUUAAUCUUGCAAUUGUGGCAAUUUUUUAAUCAAUUAUUGCUUAUAGUAAGAUGUGAAGAGGAUCAUUGAAUGCUUUAGUGAGAAAUAUGCUUAAAUGCUUCAUAGAAACCCAUGUAAAACGAUCCCUUUCCUGAGCACCUACUAUUGGGCUUCCAGUCAUAACUCAUAAGGUUUACCUAAUUUUUUUGGGAUUUCUAUUUCGUGCUUCUGGUUCCUUAGUACUACUCAGUUUUGUCCCGCCGCCUUACCAUUCCUCAUUUCCCCCCUCCUCUCUGCACAUCAGCCUCACAAAUGCCUAAACAAAGAGUUUCUAUUCAAACCUAUUGACUGUUACCUGGGAUGGGUUUCUAACGAGUGGGACUUGGAUGAGGGCCUCACGAGUGGGAUCACCUGAACACCUUAGCCCACCUGUCGGUGGCACACCCCGGCGAGCUCAACGUCGGCGACCACUGGCCAUGAUGGAGUCCACUCAGUAAUUGGGCUAGCCUGCUCGGUGUGGAUUUUAAGUGCGAACAGUGUCAAAAUGCCUUUUUGAAUUUCGAGUCAAUUUAAAAAAUUCAUAAAUUAUUCACUGAAAUCUAGUUCAGUUGAUUCAAGUUCCUAAAUUCAUCUUAUACUCAAGCCAAUUUAAUAUCCAAGUUUUAUAAUUUUACGUGAAGCUUUUUUGUGUAUCAUGGAUUUAAAUCCAGAUUCAAUGUAUAUUGGACAUCUUUAUAAAUUCCUAAUUGACGAUGUCCAGGACCAGGGGGUACCAACCUAGUUGGCUUUAGUCCCUGGGCCGAGCUUAUGGCCCAUCGAUCUCAUAGGUAGGGACUCCGGAAGCCUCGAUCCAUGGCGUGGUGAAGGUGGACUCCACCGAAGACUUGACUUGCUUCCCAAGAAUUAUUUUGGUCAUUGGCCUGUUUAUCCCCAAAUGGCAACCGACCAUAUGUAAUCCUAGGUACCCCGAGUGCCUAUAUAUGCUGAGGGGUUUAGUCAUUAGGGUUAGGAGAGAUUCAUCAUUACUCACCUUAGGAUUAGAACACAACUUACGAUCUCGAGGUAGAUCAAGCCUGUACUCGAUACAUCAUCAUCAAUACAAUCAAAGCAAGACGUAGGGUUUGAACUCUUCGAGAGGGCCCGAACUCGGGUAAAUACUGUCCCUUUCGUCUCCUGUUACCCAUCAAUUCGAGAUCCACAGCUCAGGGCCCCCUACCCGAGGCCUGCCGGUUUUUGUACUGACAUUGGUGCUUUAAUCGAAAGCUCUGUUAUGCGGUAAAAAAAGAUCAAUGGCUCGUCUGCAGAUUAACUACCACACCAGCUGCGGUCACGUCUUCGUUCCCGACCAGCUCUUCGCGUUUGGCAAGAUUGUCCCGCACGCCAACUCGAUGGGUCGUCUCGACCACGUCGAGAAUUUUGCCCCGGACCAAAUCAUUAAGUUCAAGAGCUCAGAAUGCACUUUCCGAAUGGAUGCCAGAUCAACUUGAGGGCUCUUCGGCUACCGCGGGCUUGACCUCGAAGCCAAUCCCCCAUACGACCAAGGGAUCAGAUCCCGCAAUAGGUCCGGCUUCGGGCACGGACCCAACCGCCGUCACACCGAGCCUUGACUCGAGCAUAGACCUCACCUCCUCACUAGGCCUUUACUUAAAGUCAGGUCCAAACUCGGAACCCAUCAUCAAGCUCGGAUCCAACCACUGGCAUUGGUCAAGAGCCAACCCUAGUCAACCAAGACUCCGAGGUUGCAUCAAACGACCCUCAGAGCAUACUGGGAAUCAGCCCGGCUUAUGGUCAGGCCAUGAAUGUCGAGGAUUUGUCUCAUCUGAACGGGAUGCUCGACCACAUUCAUAGACUUUCAAUCUCGGGCGACCAGACCUCGGUAUACGACAAGUUCGGAUGUAAAGCCGAUACCUAGGAAAUUUAUUACCCACCCACCACCCACCUAGUCGUUAUCAUCAAAGACUAAACCGACGUUCUCGACUACACCUCUAAAGAGGCAACAAACAUGGAGGAGGAUGUUUGCGACAUCCCAUAUACCAGCAACUAGGCCGCGACCUCCACCCACUGCGUCUAUAUGGUCGAUGCCCCCAAGGAGACGCCGGAGCCCAAGAAUGAUGAGGAAGGUAAAUGAGACUCCUCGAAACGCUGACGUCCCAGGAGGCGACCUAAGGGCACUGGCAAAGGAAAGAAGAGACACACGACUAGGGAAAAGCCUAACAGUAUCGCGGGUAAAAUGCUUAGCAGUAGCGCGGGUGGCCGCGCUACUGAUAUGGUGCUACAACUAAUGCUUAUCAGUAGCGUAGUGUGAUCCGCGCUGCUGCUAUCUAGGCAUAGCAGUAGCGUCUGUCUGCAUCACGCGUUGCUGCUAAUAGCUGUAGCGCCCUACUGCAAAGAGCGCUGCUGCUAAGACCUCACUGCUGCUAAAGCCAUACCCUGCGCUACUGUUAUUAGUUUCUAAAUUUUUUCAGGUCCAUAUUUUGUGCUGUUGAAUUUUGUUUAGGGCUUUAUACAAUAAUCUCUAGCAUAUCAUACACAUACAAAUGUAAUCAUAGCAUAUACAUACAAAUAGUCUCAUCAAAUUAUGUCAUCAUCAUAAUCAUCAUCUCGAAAAUAGCGAUACAAGUGUCAAAUACUUGCAACUAUAUCAUCAUCCAUCUAAACAAUGAUAUAUGCGAGAAGAGCUAUCACUAUGAGUGAGAGCGGAACUAUGCAGUACAUGAGGCGGUGGUUAUGAGUCCUCUCUCGCGCUAGCGUGAACCUCAAGUAACUAGCUUCUCAUUCUUGUCUGCUUUUGAAGCCUUUAUGGCUGGCGCCCGAGACCCCCUCCACUUGCGCCUAACACUCAGGCCACUUGUCGUACACUCUCAGAAUCUUCUCUUUGUACAAGACAUAGCAAUGCUUCUUCACCAUAAAGAAUCUAGGUGCCUGUUAGAGAUUCAUCUUCAUCAAGAGAAUGUACAAUCAUAUAUGCAACAAAAUAUACUUGAGCAACACGGAAAAGAAAGGGUUAGCAACUAGAUGCAACAUAUAGUAAACAUACAAAUAAUGAACGUAGUUUUAUCGUACGUAAACUAAUUAACUAGAGGCACGCAGGUCAUCGUACCCAAACUAACAAAGUAGCCUUAUGCAAGUUCAGCAGGGACCAUGGACAUCACAAAGUUCCAUCGCUACAGAAACUAUACAAGUUCAACCGACACAUAUCAGCAUCAUCGGCAUCGAAAAUCACUAGAAGUUCCAUCCUUCCAUAUCAUCGAGGAUGGACCCUAGCUUCUUGAACGGCGUGAGAUCCUAACAUUGCAUGCCUAUGCGAGUUCGGACGUCAGCUCGCGACAUAGGGCCGUGGUGGAACAUCCCCUUCUCAUCGACGACUUCUUUCAUGAUGAACGUCACAAUGUCCCUCUGGAUGCGAAAGAAGUCAUCUCUAAGUUUAUAAUCCGCUUCUGUAUGAGAUUCUACCCACUCGUGAAUAUGAUCAUCGUUUCUGCUUGUCAUGCGAAGCUUUUGUUGAUCCUUUGUGAACUCCAUCAUGAGAUGGAGGAGGUAGAAUCCAUCGUUCUUGCUUGGUUUUGGGACAUGGAUGCAGCAGAAGUUAGUUUUAUGCGAGAAACCCAUCUUCUUGUGCCUUAGUUUCUUGAUCUGCAGGUGGCCACCCCUCAAGUUGAAGCCUUGGAGAGCAUCAUCUAGAAUAUUCAUUAUGUGGGUGUAGUCCUUCUUCUCGUAGUUUCUGGUAGGGUCGAAAUACACAGCGUGGGAGACUCGCGGGUAAAUAACGAUAAGGACGGCGCGCCCAUUGCUGCGAAAAAAAACACCUCAAAUUAUUCUCCAUAUGAGCGAGAAGGAAUGAUUGAAAUGUACAAAAGGGUUGUCCGACACUGACUUACUUUGGAUGAUAAGGCAGGAGGACAAUUUCCUGGUCCUUAUUCUGUAUAAUGAAGUUUUCGAGGUACUCCCUAGCAGUUUUGCGCUCAAAGUCGCCGAGAUUCAAGAAUGACUCGUGCAUGUAGUAUGGACCUGCCACACAGAUUUGCGAGACUUCUUCUCUCUUCAUGAAGGAGCUCAUAUGUAGCGCAAAAAGGCGGACGAUUGUACAAUCGAGCCGCUUUGUCAGAAAUAUCUCGAAGAUAUGGUCAAACCACAGGAAGAACACCUCCACGGGCCGUGUGUCGACGUAGCACUUCCCCUCAGGCACACGAGCCGCGUUGUCAGAUAUCAUGGAUCCUUAGAGGCUAGUAGGCUUUUCUCAGUCGACAACACAUGGUCAUGCAGUCUGCUGAGAUCCCCUGAUAUUGCCUCCAGCGGUUUCGGCGGUAGCAUCGGCUCGCCCGUGACAUGGAACAUGGCCGCACCUUUGACAGGUACACGCUCUUCAAAAUCCACCGUCUGGCUGCUACGUGCUUUGGCUUGUUUGUAGGCAGCAGAGCCUCUCUUCCCUGGUCUCUUCUUCUCCUUUUUAUGGGGCUGACCUUCCAGACCCUCCCUUAACCCCCACCCUAGUGUUGUCGGGCUACGCACUAUACGACCCCUGGCUAGUUGAGCCUGUGUUGAGGCGGCAUCUUCAGGUGUGUCCUGUGAGGAUUGCAUGAAGAGAUACUUCUUGCAAUCCCUGCUAGGACAUUCCUGCCCGGGCAGAUCAUCCAUAUCCUCAUCAGCAUGCUGAUAGCCCGAAUCGUCAUAUGGCUGACUCAUUAUAUCUAAGUCAUCAUCAUAGGCACCUGUAUUGAGGAACCGAAGAGGGUCCUCCUCCAUAUCCUCAUCCAUUCUUUGUUCUACGGGGCGAUUACAUCAGCCACAAUUGGACCCCCAUCAUCACGUCGCCCGCCGCUCUCGCCCGACACUACAGGCACUGGUAAUUGCAUAGGCAGGGUGGUGGUAUCCAUACCUGCUUGUUGAUGUGCCCUCGGCCGACUCCAGACGAAGAAGAUUCUUUGGCCAUAGUAGCACCCAACCCUUGCAGCUUCCAAUCCGUGGCGGGGUCUCGUCAUCCUCUCCCCCUAGCCGUACUAGAGGAGGCAAAUCCUCGUGCCCCGACUUCACACUCGACAAGGUAACCUUGAAGUGCCCACGGGGCAUCGGCUGGCUGUGGAACAUGAGUUCCAAGGGCUUCGUUAUCACCCCGUUUCCCACGUCCACCUUCUAGCCUUUGAUCAAGUAGAGUACGAUACACGGGGUUUCGUCGUCCUGCAAACACAUGUCCGUGGCAUAAAACAUCCGAAAGGCAACGAAAAUGGAAUAUUCUAGAUAUAUGUUGGUGCAACAUGUAAUUACUGUGAGGGCAUCGAGCUCAGCCAAAGACGAAGGCCCGCCUAGCGCGCCAGAGACUAAGGACGGGCUGCUAUGAGUGGGUGCGGGUGCGGGAGCAGGCCCGGUUGCAUGAGCAGGUGAUGGUGCGGUAGUGUUGUUCACCGAGUUGCUCCCGACGAAACUGGGCAUGGGAAAUCAUGUACCGUCUUGUCUGGAUUUCCUUCAUCCAUUUGAUGAUAGCCGAGAUCAAGUUAGUAGCAAAAUCAUUUCUGCAGGCAUGUACGGAUCAAGUUAGUAGCCGGGAUCAUUGCUGCAUCGACUGCCUGCUGUAGCAACUCAUUUUUCUCCUCGACUGCUUUUCUUGCGUCCUCAUCUGCUUUUUUCUCGAACGCAAGCUUCACCUUCUCGUCGAUGUCCGCCUGACUAAACUUCUUUUUCUGCUUCUUGGCCUCCAGACCCUCGUUGUAAAAGACCUUCCACGUGGCGCCGUCUUCGGCGCCGUGCACACGUCCAUAUUGCGGCCGCAGUUCCAAAGGGAGUCCCUUAAGUUCGUUCAAGGCCCGGUUGAGAGGGGUGUCCCACUUGAGCCUCAUCAGAAAAGUAGGGAUUUUGGCUGCAAGCUGGUGUUACUUCUCCUGCAGAAGGAACGUGAACCGUUUACGAAUGUGUAGUUGACUUAAUCAAAGGCUAAAUGUAAGGUGGUAAAAGAAUAAUUACCAGUAGUCUAAUCAAUUUCCUCGUGAUCUGGUCCGCGUAAAAAACCUUAUUUUCCUUGUCCCACUUGUAGCGAGCCCUGAUGAAGUCACGCUCUAAGGGGUUGGUGAACUUUGCGAAGGGGUCUGGGAGACCCACGGCUUCACGUUUCACGUCCUCCGUAUCCCAUAUGGGCCUUUUGCCAAGGUAGCCACAGCUUCGGAGGCGAUGCUUCCCUGUGUUCCUUUGCUGAAGGCUCUUGAAUUUCACAACCUUAGCCUUGGCUGCCUCGGUAGCGCAAGUGUCCUUGAACUUUUUGAACUCCUCUUCUGUCGUGUCGAAUUUUCCUCUAGAACCUUGGACAUGGGUUCCUCAACCUCAAUAGCUCGUUUCACCCUCCCUUUCCAGGAGGUAAAUCAUUGUCGAACAUGCCCAUGGUGUGAUUGUUAAUCUUUUUCAUCUUUGGAUCAUCCCACGGUUGUUCUAUGCUAUCAUCCCGGUCGGGGAACUUGAAUCUCUUGUGCAACUUCAUCAGGAGCAACUGCCUCAAAUGUUCUUUACUCCUUAAGUCAUCGUCGUUGAUGCUCGCGCAUUCCCGUAGGAUGCAUCCUACUUGGUUCCCAUAGCACUUGCGAGGUUCUUCCGGCUCUAAUGGCUCAAACUUGCCAGGGGCCAUCUUUGUGAUGACCAGUCGUCCGAUGCCAAGUUUGUUAGGUUUUCAUAUCCUUUGCUUCUUCUUUUCGGUAGCGGUAUCAGCCCCGGUACCUUCCCCGCCGGUCUCGGCGCCACCAUUGGUGCUGGUGCCGUUGGUGUCGAUGUCAGUGUCAGUACCAUCAUCGAGGCCGACCUACAAACCUUGACUCUGCUUAGCAGACAAAAAGUCGAGGUACUAUUGUUCACCCUCAUAAUCCAUCUCGUCUGCAUCUUGGUCAGAAGGCCCGAUUUCUUUGUUGUUCGACAUCUUUCAUAUGAUUAUGUCUCCUCGUUUAAUUCUAAAACUAUAUAAAAAUAUAAAUGACAUAAAAAGAUCUAUGUUUGCCGGAAUGCCGCUUCCCAGCAAAUCCCGACACUCGAUAUGCCUACUUUCUAGCACAAGUCAUGCCAAAAUUCACGGAAAAUUUCGGCAUGACCUUUGCUAAAAAGUGGACAUAUCAAGCGCCUGAAAUUCAUCGGAACGGAAAUGAAUCAACAUUCCGGCGUAACAUAGGCCACUCGGAUCAUUUACGCUGCACAUAAUCAUCAUUUUCCAAAUAUGACAUGUCCAAAACAUCACAUGUCCAAAUAUGACAUGUCCAAAUUCCAAAUAUGACAUGUCGAAAUCACAUAUCCACAUAUCACAUGUCCACUUCAAAAUUGCAUAUAAAAGGAAGAAAGAGUGAUUUGCAACUAAAAAAGUUCAGCGUACCUAAAUUUGAAACUAUUUUUUUUUCAAGUAUGACAUGUCCACAUAUCACAAGUCAUUUUCUUCACAAUAUUUGAAACUAAAUCCAGCCUACCUAAAUUUGAAACUAAAAAUAUAUUUGAAACUAAAUUCAGCCAAAUUAACCUACUAGUUUGAUACCUAGCUAAAUUCGUAACUAAAUAGAUAACCUAAUUACCUACUGCCCUAACUAAAACCUAACUAAAUCAACCGAAGAACCCUAGCUAGCAGAGAGAGGAGGAGUCGUGGGGGGCUUACAGAGGGUGCAAGGGCGAGGAGGUAGGCCCGACGAUGGACAGGGUUGGGAGGUCGGGGGUGAGAGCGAGGUCGCAGGCGUCGGGGCCGAGGGCGAGGUGGCCGGGGUCCGGGGCGAGCGCCAGAGUCGGGGAAGAGCGUAGGAGCGCGGCGAGGGCAGGGAUCCAACAGCGACGAGGGGGGAAGAGAGAGUGAGGAUUUGGGGGAGGAAGCAGAGGCGGGAAGAAGGAGAGAGUGGGAAUUUGGGGGGUUAAGUCAGCAUAGCAGUAGCACGUUUGUGCUAAACGUGCUAUAGCUAACUUAUCUAUAGUGCGUUUUUCCCAAACGCGCUACUGCUAUCACAGGUAGUUAUAGCGUUUCUCUAUGGACUAGCUAUAACCCUUUUUCAGAAAAGCGCGACUGCUAUAACCAAUACCUAUAGCAGUUUUCCCGUUGGUUUCUUCUAUUUUAUUUUCCUUUAUUUUCUCUCACUUUUCUUUUCUUCUUUUUCUUUUCUUUUCUUUUCUUUUCUUUUCCGAGAGCAGGAACGAAGGAAAGGUGAUACAAUGUAUAUAACUAAGGCGAUAUAUCUUGCAUCAUUUGACGGUUAAGUAUGUAUACAAAAUAGGAACAUAUAUAUUACAUCAUUUGACCCAUGCAUAAUGCUUAAGUGUGUACACCAAAUAGGAACAUAUAUAUUACAUCAUUUGAACGAUAACGGUUCCUCAGCAUCGACGUUUUCGUUUUUGAGUGAGCUUCUUUCCCUUCUUAUUCGUUGAAGAAUAAUUGAGCCCCUCAUUGUGACUUUCCUUUUCCAUGGAGUAUGAUCUUUCUUAGGUAAUGUAGUAUGAUUCUUCUUUUGACGUAUACUUCAUCGUCAUCGUCUUCUUCCCUCAUUGGGUUGCCAUACUGGUCGUAGUCUUCCUCGUUGGCGACUCCAUCCAUUCCAAUGAUGUUCCUUUUGCCUCUCCUCAUGACAACGCGGCUGGGAUUGCACGGGUCUGUUAUGAAGAAGGAUUGUGUCAUGUGCUUAGCGUGUACCCAUGGCUCGUUUUUUGCGAUAGCAUUCACGGUAGCACUCUUGGCGUCGGGUAUAGUCAUGGUAGUGAAAUACCGGUUUUCUCUUUCGACAUUCUUAGCCCAUCUGACACGGAACAUCGUCGCUUUAUGUAGUCUAGAGUAGUCAAGCUCCCAGAUCUCCUCGACCCUUCCGUAAAAUCUCUCGGUUGCGUCGUUGUCGCUGUCGGUCAUGCAUUCCAUCGUCUCCCCUGAGUUAUAAUCAUUGCCGUCCAUAUCUUUGGUCUUCGUGUAGAACAUGUAUCCAUUGAUAUUGUAUGGCUGAUAGGUGACAAGGUUGAGCGAGGGGCCAUGUGCUAAGGCGUAUAUGAGCAAUCCGUCCUUAGAGCCCUCUUCUGGGGGAUUAGCAAUAAUAUGCUCUUUGAACCAAUGCAGGAAAGUGGAGUUGUGCUCUCUAGUAACUUCGGCGUCCGUCCUGCAUACCCCCGGUCACGAUACUUCUUUGCGAUAGUUUCUUUGUGCAGUGCCACGAAAGGAUCUACCUGGUCUAGGUGUUGUAGAACUACCAAGUUUGCUCUGUCAAAGUCGUUGCGUCGAUCUGAGUAGGCCACAUGCAGUUCCCUGCGACCAUUGGAGUGACCUUCUCCUUCGAGCCUCCCAUCAUGCUUGUUAACGGGCAAACCAACACCAGGCGACUGGUCUACGCCAUAUAGAAAAUUCUCGCAGAAAGUGAUGCACUCUUGUGUCAGAUAGCCCUGGAUGAUGCUUCCAUCCGGACGGGACAUGUUACGAAUGAAUCCUUUGAUGAUCCCAUUCAUCCUGUCAAACGGCAUCAUGUUGUGUAGGAAUGACGACCACAUGUCUAUUAUGUCGUCCACAAUAUGGACACACAAAUGCACCAUCACUUCAAAGAACGCGGGCAGGAAGUACAUCUCAAGCUCAUUUAGUAUCACAAUGAUCUCUUCCUGUAGCCUUCGGAGAUACUUCACACUAAUUGACUUUCGAGAGAUGACAUUGAAAAAGUUGCAGAGACCAAUAAGCGUGUCACAUACGUGCUUGUCCAUUAGCCCUCUAAGGGCAACAAGCAGUAUCUGCGUCAUCAUCACAUGACAGUCAUGGGACUUCAUCCUGCUGAACCUUUUCUUCUUCAUGUCUAGAUAUCUUCUUAUCUUGCCACAGUAACCGGAACUAACUUUGAUUCCGGUAAGGCACUUGAAGAAUUAAUCGAUCUCAGUCGGACUUAAGGUGAAGCAAGAAGGGGGGCUAUAAUCCUCUUCCUUUACUUUUUUGCCCUUCUUCUCCCACGCCUCUAUCUCUGUCUCUGUCUCCUUUGACUUUUUACGGGGCGGCAUGUGUAGAUCUUCCAUGAUUUCCAAAUCUUGCAAGUCUUUUCUUGCCUUCGACACAUCCUUGUUCUUAUCCGGCAUGUUCAUCAGUGUCGCAAGCAAGCUCUCAAGGACAUUCUUACAGAUAUGAAUUUGAUCAAGCCAAUGAGGCGUGUCGAGUUUGUGCCAGUAGUCCAAGUCCCAAAAAAUAGACCUCAUCUGCCAUACUUCAGCAGCGGCUCCGGCGCCUUUUUCAUCGUCUUUCCCGGCGCGGGGCACUGUUCCCAGGUUUUCAACAGCUCAUCAAUUUCUGCACCACUUUGCUUACGUGGAGGUCCUCGAUGCUCAGCUUCACCAUUGAAUAGAUCUCCACGGUUUCUCCACGGGUCAUCCUUCUCGAGCCAUCUUUGAUGCCCCAUGUACACGAUUUUCCCAGACCCGCCAUCUUUCCUUGACGUUAGCUGCUGAUACGUCGUAUCAUCCAUGCACCACGUGCAUCUGCAACAUCCAUGGCACACCUGGCCUGCGACAUACCCGUAACGGAGAUAGUCGUGCACCGUCGUGAUCAACACGACUCUCAUAUAGAAAUACUCGCCUUUGCUGGCGUCCCAUGUCUUGGCCGGUGUUUUCCAUAACGUGUCUAACUCCUCUUGAAGUAGCCCUAGAUACAGAUUAAUAUCAUUUCCCAGUUGUUUCGGCCCUUGAAUUAGCAUUCUCAUGUGUAUGUACUUCGAUUUCAUGCACAACCAGGGGUUAGGUCAUACAUCCAUACAAACAUGUGCCAUGUGCUAUGGUUGGUAUUCUGGUUGCCAAACGGAUUCAGGCCAUUGGUACAUGCGCCGAGCAUGAUGUUCCUUGCAUCACAUGCAAAAUACCGAUAUUCGCUAUUGAACGCUUUCCACUGGCUUCAAUCCAUGACGUGUCUCAGCUUCGGAUCAUCUCCAUCCUCGGGCUUCUUCCUCUCCACGUGCCAGUGCAUGAGCUUUGCUUCCAUGGGAUCUACGAAAUACCGCUGUAGACGAGGAGUGAUCGGUAAGUACCAUACAACUUUCCGGGGAGAUUUCUUCUCGGCCUUCUUGUAUCGAGAAGCAUUGCACACCAGACAACUUGUUUUUUCCGCACGCUCCCUCCGAUAAAGUAUGCAAUCGUUGAUGCAUGCAUGGUAUCUAACAUGCGACAGAUCAAGAGGGCACACGAUCUUCUUGGCCUCAUCCACACUAGUAGGACAUAGAUUCCCCGCGGGAAGAACAUCCUUUAGGUACUUGAGAAGCUCAUCGAGGCUAGUGUCAAUCCAUUUGUUUUUAGCCUUCGUCUUUAGGAGUUCGAGCGUGAAACUCAAGCGGGUCACCUCGGGAUUGCAACCAUAAUACAAUGGAGUGUUCGAGUCUACUACCAGUUGGUGCAGCUUGGCCUCCUCUCUAGAAGCAGCUCUCUUAGUACUCGUCUCCUUGUGAAGCAGUGCUUCAACAUGAGGGUCCCGCAUGAUUGAACUUAGUACCGACGAAAUCUGCGGUGUGGAGUCCAUAUUUUCUCCACCGCCAUGUCCGGCCCCUUCUCCACCGCCAUGUCCGCCCCCUUCUCCGCCGCCAUGUCGGACCUCUUCCCCGCCACCAUGUCCGGUCCCUUUUCCACCGCCAUUAUCGAUCAUCUCUUCGUCUUUCCCCGUGUCGUCAUUGCCUGCCCCAUAGGCGUCCUCAACAUUAUCAUCCUCAUCUUCAAUUAUCCAUCGAGUAUAGCCAUCCAUGAAACCAGUCAUGAGUAGGUGCGCCAUCGCAUCAUAGGGGUCAAACCAAACUCCUCCUUUGCAUCUUUGACAUGGACAUAAAACCUCUGUCAGGUUAUUUUCUUUCAUGUCCUGAACCGCCGACCGCAACCACCUGUCCACCAUCGUUCCACUGACCGUCAUGAAUGCCUGCAUGGUAAUAAUAAACAAAUUGAUUAUAAAAAUGCAUGCAUGCAUCAAAGUCAUACAAAAAUUCAGCAUGACCUUCCCUAAAAAUAGGACAUACAGAGUUUGCCCAGAAUUUUCCGAAACGGAAAUAAAUCAACAUUCCGGCAAAACAUAGGCAACUCACAAGCACAAUCCGGCGGCAACUCAUGCCACAGUAGUCCUGGCCAUCUCAGGCUCGGCCUUGUCGGCCCACCCAGGCCCGACCCUAAAAUCCAGGGCCUAGGCCCGAGGGGUUGCUCGUGGGCCGGGCUUGGGCCUAAGUUUUGAGCCCACCAGCAAGGCCUGGACGGGCUUGGGCUUGGCAUAUUGGCAUUUUAAGGAAGAGGCCCGGCCCACGGCCCUAAUCCCUAAGGGAUUUUGACCAGAUGGGCCGGGCUUGGGCUUGAAAAGUAGGCCCGAUGGUAGGGCGUGGGAGGGCCUGUGCCUCAAUUUUUUGCCAUGGGCUUUUUGAGGCCCGGCCCGACCCGACCCAUGGCCAGAUAUAUGCCACACACACAAUUUCCAUCAUAUCACCCAAUCAUGUCAUAUCUCACACAUACACAUAUUUCCAUUCUUGCAAAAGCAUAAUUUUUAAAUCACCUAUCUCGAGAUCGAGCACAGUGAUGAUGUUGUCGAUAGGUGUCGCCACACACACCUAUUGAAUGAUCAAAAGUGGACAAAUCUCUUUUUGACAAGGCUAUAGAUCUAGUUAGGGAGGUACAUAGGUCACUUCACUAAAUGCUAGCUAGAUCUACCUAGCUAGCUAGUUUGGGAGGAGACAAGUUCAACUAGUGGAGGCGGAAGGAAAAAGAGAAUAAAGAUGCAUUAAUGGAUGUAGUGUAGUUAGCUAGGAGUAAUAAAGAGAGAGAAAGAUAGGUAGAAGAAGGAGAGUAAUGGGGGAAGAAGUAGUGAGGAAGAAGCAAAGUGAGGGAGAGAGGAGGUGGGAGGGGAAAGUGAAGGAAGAGAGGAUGGGGGAGGAGGGAGAGGGGGAGGAAAAAGGUGGUAUGGCUGCAGUUUAGCAGUAGCACUGGUCGUAAAACACGCUGCUGCUAACACGAUAGCAGUAGCGCGCUCUUGGCAGACGGGCUACUGCUAAGCGGGGCCCGCCAUGUGGCCAGGUUCAAAAUUAGCAGUAGCGACAUGCAUAAAAAGCGCGCUACUACUAUCACAUUAGCAGUAGCGCGGUUACCAUUGGUGCGCUACUGCUAAACCUAGCAUGUCGGGAAUGGUCGGCCAAUUUUAGUAGUAGCAUGGUUCUACCGUGUCGCGCUACUGCUAAGCUGGUAGCAGUAGCGCCUGUUUGUUGCACGCACUACUGCUAAUUAGCAGUAGCACCUCUUUUUGUCCAACGCUACUGCUAAGUUUCUGUGUAUAAGGUUUUCCCUAGUAGUGCCAGACUGUCCACUCGGGAGCCACAGGUGAUGACUCCAUGGCUGAUAACCCUGAUGAGCUUGGCAACGACAACAAUGCCGUGCCUGCUCAGUCCGACAUUCCCACUGAAAUGUCAUAUAACGGGGAUCCCGAAAAUCCCGAGGCCGUGUGAUAUAGUGAUUACUUCCUGGAAUCCGAGAAGGAUGUUAGCCUCUGACUUGAGGACUUCCUCGUCCCCCAAGAUCCAGUACAGUAGGAGAGAUUCUAGCGAUGCAACGUCAUGACCGCCCAGAGCACGAAGUAAAAAUAACACAAGCUCCAUGCUGGCCAAAGUACACUUAACGAAAAAUGGGUCGAGGUCCUCACCGUCGAGCAGGUACUCGAGGCACAACGUGAGGGGUAGCUCAAGUCCUUCCCAUGCAGAAAGCUGCUGCCCGAAAUUAACGACGAAGCAGCGGAGAACGUGCCACUCAAGCAUGGCCGGGCUAAUCAACCUAACCGCCCUCCCAGGGGACGAGACAAAGCCGACAGGAGUCUGUACAAACUCCCCAAUAAUACCUCUCUGUUAUGGCAAGGAGUCGGUCCAGUACCUCGAGCCAUUCGACUUGCGGACACAGUUAAACACAAAUCCCACCCCCGCUCGAUCCAUAUACGGAUCUCAAGGGCACACACCAGCCAGUUAGGCCGGGUACGACGCCUGGUUGGACAGGAAUGGAAGGGCUCGGGAGCGAACCUACGCUUGGAUGACGGCCAACAUGGGGCACGAGGCUCCUCAUUUCCGAGGGCCCCCACAUCCGAUAUGUUUCACAAACGAGGUCAUGGAGCACUAAUUCACUGAAGGGUUUAAACCCAUAAACAUCAAGGCAUAUGAUGGAACAGCUGACCCGACUGCACGGAUUGAAGAUUUUCUUCUCCAUAUUCACAUGACAAGAGGACAUGAUCUCCACACCAUAAAAUACCUCCCCCUGAAGUCCAAGGGAUCGGCAAGGCAUUGGCUCAAUAGCCUACCCAAGAACUCUAUCGAAAGCUAGGAAAAGCUCGAAAACGCUUUUAGGGCAAACUUCCAGGGCACCUACGUUCGACCACCGGACACUGACGACCUCAGCCACGUAAUUCAAUAGCCCGACGAAUCAACCAGGAAGUUUUGGAACCGGUUCUUGACUAAGAAGACUCAAAUAGUAGUUUGUCCUGUUGCAGAAGCAAUCGCUGCCUUCUGGAAUACUAUCCGGGAUGAAUGUUUGGCGCGUCAGCUCAGACAAGACAAACCAAGAACCAGGGCACCCCUUAGAUCCAUGAUGACCUGCUUUCACACGGGCGAGGACAACUGGCUGACCCGCAACUCUCACAGCGGUGAACUCGGUACCUCGGAGGUUCGUGAUGGCAACGACAAGUCCAUGCACAACAAGAACAAGUGCUGGCAUAAAAAAACUACAGUGAGGCCAAAGAUGCUACGGUAAAUGCUGGGUUUAGCAAUGCCAAAGCUGGAAAGAAAAAGAAACCCUUUAAAGGGAACAAGGAUGGUCCCAACAUGCUUGACAAGAUUCUUGACAGACCUUGCCAGAUUCAUGGCACUUCGGAUAAGCCAGACAACCACACCAAUAGAAACUGUUGUGUUAUCAAACAACCAGGAAAGGUCAUGGUCGAAGGACAUAGCAAGACCCAGUCUCACGGCGAGGACGAGGAUGAACCUCAGAGGCCCAACAACGGGGGCCAGAAACAAUCCCUUCUGAUGUCAAGGAUGUAAACAUGAUUUAUGUCACUCACAUCACUAAGAAGAAAUGGAAGCACGCGCUCCGAGAGAUCUACGCCUUAGAGCCUGUCGCCCCAAAGUACAACCCAUGGUCGGCUUUUCCAAUCACCUUUGAUAAAAGCGACCAGCCGACCAGUAUCCGUCAUGGAGGGCUGGUGGCUUUGGUCCUCGAUCCCAUUAUCAAUGGGUUCCAGCUAACCCGCAUCCUCAUGGACGGCGACAACGGCUUAAAUCUGAUCUAUGCUGACAUGAUCAACAAGAUAGGUAUCAACCCAUCAAGGAUCAAGCCCAGCAACACCAUUUUCAAGGGUGUCAUUCCAGGCGUGGAAGCAGAGUGCAUGGGGACAAUAACAUUGGAGGUGGUCUUUGGCUCCCCCAAAAACUUCCAAAGCGGGAACUUGAUCUUCGACAUAGUCCCCUUCCGGAGUGGCUAUCACACACUGCUUGGAUGAACUGCUUUCGCCCGUUUCAAUGCGGUCCCACAUUACACGUAUUUAAAACACAAGAUGUCAGGACCCAAUGACGUUAUUACACUUAAUGGAAACACUGAAUGAUUCCUCCGUAUGGAGAAGCAAAUUAAAACUUUCACAGCCGAGGUUUAAGCAUCCAAGGAGGCAUCCAUGGCACUCGCCAAAUUACACGAGAAGUGCUUGUCCAAGCGUGUCAGAAGUGCCCCUUCAACCUCCUGACAGCCAGGUAGCACCCUCUUAUAGGGAUUCACGCUCCACUGCCUCUUAUGCUAACCGAAGAUUACGUGCCUCGUGUUCAUAACUUCGUAGUUAAAAUACCAUGGGGGACUAUGGAACACUACAAAAAAGGCACAUUCCUCGGCCUAAACCAAUCUGUGCCAUACAGCCAUCCUAGUUUUUAUAAAGGCAUUACUUCAGGCCUACUAGGACAGGUUCUUCGGCUGACAGUAUAAAACUAUUUCAAAGAAGCUACUGAGCUUAAACGCCCUGCCAGUCGAAGGCGUCAUGCAUCGUCAAGGCAGCGUAGCAACUAACUUCACCUACACCUCGGAACGGACGAGGUGUGGCUGCUCGAUGACACAGAGGCACAAACGUGCGACAUGGCUAUUCAUGGAUGUUUGGAUCCCGACUUAAAAUUGCUCUGUAUCAUCCCUCCUUAUUUUUUGUAUCUUUUAGUGUUUCUUUGAUAAAAGCUUUGCAUGUACGGUUCGGCCUCAUAAAUCAAAAUAAAACAGACCCUUUGCAGGCACCACACAUAUAUUUGUGUCAUUUUCUUUUUUACUCGCCUUUGAGCCCAAGAUAACUGUCGCGAUACAAACCCUUUUUUAAUACGUCCGGCUUUCAACUGGGGGCUAAGAUUUAAUCUCGUGUUAGAAUAAAAGUCCGAAUAGUUCGUUCGGCGUCUCAGAUGUUGCAUUAUAUGCAUCAGUUUUGAACCAUGAUUUUCCUCAAUAGUUGGGUUGCCCGGCUCCUAUGUUUACCUCUUACGUCUCCUCUUCGAUAGUCUAAGAGUGUAAAGGGGGAACCACUGCGAUUGCGCUUCCAACACGGAUGGUCAAGCGCCUGUGGAGAAAGCCGAAAACUAACUGUCUUGGUAAGCAUAAACUGGUCGACAAUCCGAUGACGGUGUCAAACCAAUGAUUGUUGGGAUCCAUCUGUGUUAAGCGAAGGGCUUCUUCUUAAAUAUAGCCGAAGUGAUUGAUGGUUUCAACCUCGGCCAAAGCCGAACACUUCACUCAUCGCCAGCUAGUUACUCGCCCGAAUAGUCAAUCUCCCAUGACUAAGUGAAAGUUAUAAAACCACUAUAGUCUUAUUGCCUUGUUCCUAUUAGCAUGAACCACCUCUGGGUUCAGAGACAUCGGCUAAGGGUUAAAUAGCUAUAGAAGCACCCCUUUUGUACAAGGGGGUGGACACCGACGACUGGUCACUUUCAGUAUUAGAACAGUCGCACAUGAGUCAAAAUAAAACACAUCAGGAGAUAAGGCCGACUUCAUUCAACAUAACACAAAAUCUUGUCCUUUUAUUACACACUUAAAACUUCGACAUUCCGAAGUACAAGCUAAAAAUACAUGGUGUUUCUAUUACACCAGGGCUCGGUGAUCUGAGCACCUUCCAUCACCUCAGCAAAAUACUGCUCUCGAGUCCGGUCCUUUCCGGACGGACGCCUUGAAGCCACUAUUUGCAACGAUGCGAGGAUAGUGUGUCUUUAUGGCGGCAUAGGCGCGCUGAGGACCCUCCAAGUAGGAAGAUCUCUGCCAGUGCAGGACCUAAGGGCCGGCGUCCUGAAGACGAGGCACCAAGCCAAAGUAGCUGGUUGUAAAAAGCUCUGCUGGCCAAAGGUUGACACAGGGAUCCUCCAUGCCCGGCCUCGCCAUGCGGUAGAUCUCCAUCAUCUCCAUCAUCUAGUUGUUGAGCUGUGGUAGGUGUGAUGGUGCUUGGCACUGCUGCCAAAACGCCUUCUUCUCAGCGUGACCCUUGAGGGCAACGAAGUAUCUACCAACACCGGACGCACUCCUCGACAGAUUCACGAAAGUGUCUGAGGAUCGCCAGAGUUAACACUACAAAAUUUCAUCUAUUUAGUGAGAAAAACCCUGGUGAUGAAACAUGAAACAUCACCUGAAAUCAUUUUCUACGACGGUCCAUUUUCACGAGGUGUUUUGCUCGCAGGGCAGCACCCUAGCCAACUUCGACGAUGUUCUAGCCUACAAUUGUGCGAUGCUUUUGGGCGCCACUAGGCAUGUCCAUUUUCCUAGAUGAUUUGUAGUGUCACAGAAAAUGUUUCAUGUCACAAACAAUGUUAAGCGGGCUAGAAAAAAUGAUUAAAAAUGGCAUGUUGGUGUUUAGAAUGUAGUGCCUUAUAAAUUCUUCUAUGACAGAGUUUAUAACAAAUUACAUUAUAAUUUUUAGGGUUUAGGGUUUGAAUGCUCUUAUCGAAAUCCAUUGAUUAUGUCUCUGUACGUGCUCUCAUUGUAGUGAACUAUGAGAGCAUGAACGGGAAAAUAUGAUCACAUAGAAAUAUAUUCCAUUAUGUACGAGUUAAUCUAAAAUUUCAUCAAGACAAAAGGUGGUCAACAAGAAAGCUUGUUUCGUCCAAAUGAACAACUUUGCCUUUUCGAUCAUUUCAAUCCCAUGUCAUGCGGACGCCGUUUGCUUGCACCCAUACUCGGGCAGUACUCUGUAUAAAUUGCAGCAGGAAAUUUCAAAGAAGAAACAAGACAAUGCCAUUUCAAACAUUGUAUCACAAAUACUAGAAAUAUUACAAGGUUCAAAUUUGAGUAUGACAAGGCCCAAACUCAGAGGUUACAAUGUUCAAACUGAUAUUAGAGAUCAAAUUCAUCUUCUUUAGAAUCUUUGUCAUGCACUAUUUCUGCGAAUGGGUAAGCCACCAAGAAGUCAUAUAUCAGCUUGAUAGAAUGACUUCUGAAUAAUCUGUCAUUUGAGUUUCCAAAAUGAAAUUUAGCUUGUGCAGAUCUUUUUCCAUUCAGCUGAAGACGUGCGCUGAUUAACAAACCAUUCAUCUCUGCACACUAAAUAUAUGGCAAACCUCAUUAACUUCAUCACACUUGCUUUCUGAACAAAGAACCUGGCAAAUUUCAUCUCUUGUGUGGUGCCUCGAUACUCAUUCAAAGUAAUCUUUGUCAAAUGGAGAUCAAGGCAUCCGAUGGGAUUGUUAUAUUACGCCACAUUUUCCACUUUCGGGCCUACUUGUAUCUGCAAACGAAGCAACAAGUUAGUACCUAGAUGUAGUGUUGAACAGUACGUGCCACUUUCAUUUGCUUGAUUUCUAGAAUAUGUAAAUAGAGUGACAUGCCAUCUUUAGUUGUUCAUCAUUAACAUCUCAUAAAAUAUAUGUACCGAAGUGCUCCAAAAUUCCCUUAGAAAUCAAAGUACAUUUGUCAUUGUAAUCAUGGGUAAAAGUACCAUAAAAUUGAACUCCGUUGUGUUUAUCAAUUAAGAGGAAAGGAGCAUCACCUUGAUGUAUAGCUUCUCUAUGCACAUAAAGCAUCUAAGGAAUCUAACAACUUGAUCCAGAUCAGACAGAUAGAUUGUAGUAUCAAGAUCUUCACUUUGCAUAGAGACAGGGUCAUGCUUGUGGGAAUCAUUGUUUGGAUGACGGCCGGACAUGGAUCAACAAAAUUAGAUACAAUGUGAUGUAUUAUAAGAUGGAGAAUAAGAAGAUUGUUGUACUUGAAUGGAUAUGGAUUGAUAACCCACAAGUAUAGGGGAUCACAACAGUUUUUGAGGGCAGAGUAUUCAACCCAAAUUUAUUGAUUCAACAUAAGGGGAGCCAAAGACUAUUUGCAAGUAUUAGCAGCUGAGUUGUUAAUUCAACCACACCUGGAGAUUAAUUAGCUGUAGCAAAGUGAUCGGUAGCAAAGUAGUAUGAUAGUUUUGAUAGUAGUGGCAACAACAAUAGUAACAGUAACAGUGAUAGCAAUGAUUUUGUAGCAAGUGCAAUAGUGACGGUAGUAGUAGUAACUUAGCAGAAACAAUAUAAAAGAAAUUCAUAGGCACUGGAUCAGUGAAUUAAUUGGAUGAUAUUCAUCAUAUAACAGUCAUAACCCAGGGCGAUACGACAGUAGCUCCAAUUCAUAAAUAUAAUGUAGGCAUGUAUUCCGUAAAUAGUCAUACGUGCUUAUGGAAAUAACUUGCAUGUCAUCUUUUGUCCUACCCUCCCGUGGCAUUGAGGUCCUAUUGGAAACUAAGGGAUAUUAAGGCCUCCUUUUAAUAGAAAACCGGAACAUAGCAUUAACACAUGGUGAAUACAUGAACUUGUCAAACUACGGUCAUCACCGGGAAGUGUCCUGACUUCUGUCACUCCGGGUUUGCCAGAUCAUAAUACAUAGUAGGUGACUAUAACUUGCAAGAUCGGAUCUAGAACAUUGAUAUAAUGGUGAUAACAGAAACGGUUCAGAUCUGAAAUCAUGGCACUCGACCCCAAAGUGACAAGCAUUAAGCAUGGCAAAGUCAUAGCAACAUCAAUCUCAGAACAUAAUGGAUACUAGGGAUCAAGUACUAACAAAACUAACUAGAUUAUAUGAUGAAUCUCAUCCAACUCCUCACCGACCAGUGAGCCUACAAAGGAAUUACUCUCUCCCGGUGGGGAUCAUCAUAGAAUUGGCGAUGGAGAAGGGUUGGUGAUGACGAAGAUCGAAGAUCCCCCUCUCUGGAGCCCCAAACAGACUCCAGAUCUGGCCUCCCAAUGAAGAACAGGAGGUGCCGUUGGCUCUGUCUCGUGAAAUGCAAUAAUUCUUUCUCCUUGAUUUUUUUCUCCAAAUAUGUGAAUUUAUAGUAUCAGGACUGGAGUCUGCAGGGCCACCAGGUGGGGACAACCCACCUGGACACGCACGAAGGGGGGCGCGUGCUACGUCUUGAGCUUGCGUUGGUUUUCCUUGAAGAGGAAAGGGUGAUGCAGCACAGUAGCGUAAGUAUUUCCCUCAGUUUUUCAGAACCAAGGUAUCAAUCCAAUAGGAGGCUCCUCACAAGUCCUGCAAACCUACACAAACAAACAAAGAACUCGCAACCAACAGGAUAAAGGGGUUGUCAAUCCCUUCACGGCCACUUGCGAAAGUGAGAUCUGAUAGAGAUAAUAUGAUAAGAUAAAUAUAUUUUUGGUAUUUUGUAAUAUAGAUGCAAAAAAGUAAAUAUGCAAAUAAAAGUAGAUUGAAAGCUUAUAUGAUAAAAGAUAGACCCGAGGGCCAUAGGUUUCACUAGUGGCUUCUCUCAAGAUAGCAUAAGUAUUACGGUGGGUGAACAAAUUACUGUCGAGCAAUUGAUAGAAAAGCGAAUAAUUAUGAGAUUAUCUAGGAAUGAUCAUGUAUAUAGGCAUCACGUCCGUGACAAGUAGACCGACUCGUGCCUGCAUCUACUACUAUUACUCCACACAUCCACCGCUAUCCAGCAUGCAUCUAGAGUAUUAAGUUCAUAAGAACAGAGUAACACAUUAAGAAAGAUGACAUGAUGUAGAGGGAUAAACUCAAGCAAUAUGAUAUAAACCCCAUCUUUUUGUCCUCGGUGGCAACAAUACAAUACGUGCCUUGCAACCCUUUCUGUCAUUGGGUAAGGACACGCAAGAUUGAACCCAAAGCUAAGCACUUCUCCCAUGGCAAGAAAGAUCAAUCUAGUAGGCCAAACAAACCGAUAAUUCGAAGAGACUUGCAAAGACAACUCAAUCAUACAUAAAAGAAUUCAGAGAAGAUUCAAUUAUUUCUCAUAGAUAAACUUAAUCAUAAACCUACAAUUCAUCGAUCUCGACAAACACACCGCAAAAAUAGUUUACNNNNNNNNNNNNNNNNNNNNNNNNNNNNNNNNNNNNNNNNNNNNNNNNNNNNNNNNNNNNNNNNNNNNNNNNNNNNNNNNNNNNNNNNNNNNNNNNNNNNNNNNNNNNNNNNNNNNNNNNNNNNNNNNNNNNNNNNNNNNNNNNNNNNNNNNNNNNNNNNNNNNNNNNNNNNNNNNNNNNNNNNNNNNNNNNNNNNNNNNNNNNNNNNNNNNNNNNNNNNNNNNNNNNNNNNNNNNNNNNNNNNNNNNNNNNNNNNNNNNNNNNNNNNNNNNNNNNNNNNNNNNNNNNNNNNNNNNNNNNNNNNNNNNNNGUAUUGAGAUCCAAAAAAAGAGAAGAAGCCAUCUAGCUAAUAACUAUGGACCCGAAGGUCUGUGGUAAACUAAUCACAACUCAUCGGAGGGGCUAUGGUGUUGAUGUAGAAGCCCUCCAUGGUCGAUUCCCCCUGCGGCGGAGUGCUGACGAAGGCUCCAAGAUGGGAUCUCGCGGAUACAGAAGGUUACGGUGGCGGAAAUAUUUUUUCGGAGGCUCCCUGGAUGUUUUCGGGGUACAUAGGUAUAUAUAGGAGGAAGAAGUACGUCGGUGGCCGCUCAAGGGGCCCAGGAGACAGGGGCGCACCCAGGAGGGGUGGGCGCGCCCUCCUAUCUCCUGGCCGCCUUGAUUGCUUCUUGACUUGCACUCCAAGUUCUCCGGAUCAAGUUUGUUCCAAAAAUCACGCUCCCGAAGGUUUCAUUCCGUUUGGACUCCGUUUGAUAUUCCUUUUCUUCGAAAUACUGAAAUAGGUAAAAAAAACAUCAAUACGGGCUGGGCCUCCGGUUAGUAGGUUAGUCCAAAAAAUGAUAUAAAUGUGUAAAAUAAAGCCCAUAAACAUCCAAAACAGGUAAUAUAAUAGCAUGGAACAAUCAAAAAUUAUAGAUACGUUGGAGACGUAUCAAGCAUCCCCAAGCUUAAUUCCUGCUCGUCCUCGAGUAGGUAAAUGAUAAAAACAUAAUUUUUGAUGUGGAAUGCUACCUAGCAUAAUUCUCAAUGUAUUUCUCUUUAUUGUGGCAUGAAUGUUCAGAUCCAAAUGAUUCAAGAUAAAAGUUCAUAUUGACAAAAGAAAUAGUAAUACUUCAAGUAUACUAAUAAAAGUAAUCAUGUCUUCUCAAAAUAACAUGGCUAAAGAAAGUUCAUCCCUACAAAAUCAUAUAGUUAGGCUAUGCUUCAUUUUUGUCACACAAAGAUGUUCCCAAAUUCUACACCCCCGAUGACAAGCCAAGCAAUUGUUUCGUACUUAAAUAAUCUCAAACUUUUUCAACUUUCACGCAAUACAUGAGCGUGAGCCAUGGAUAUAGCACUAUGGGUGGAAUAGAAUAAUGAUUGGUGAUUGUGUGGAUAAGACAAAAAAGGAGAAAGUCUCACAUUGACGAGGAUAAUCAACGGGCUAUGGAGAUGCCCAUCAAUUGAUGUCAACAUGAGGAGUAGGGAUUGCCAUGCAACGGAUGCACUAGAGCUAUAAAUGAAUGAAAGCCCAACAAAAUAAAACUAGUGUGUGUGCAUCCAACUUGCUUGCUCACGAAGACCUAGGGCAUUUGAGGAAGCCCAUCGUAGGAAUAUACAAGCCAAGUUCUAUAAUGAAAAAUUCCCACUAGUAUAUGAAAGUGACAACAUAUGAGACUCUAUAUGUAAAACAUGGUGCUACUUUGAAGCACAAUAUAUGAGACUCACUAUAUGAAGAACAUGGUGCUACUUUGAAGCACAAGUGUGGAAAAAGAGAUAGUAACAUUGCCCCUUUUUUUUCUUUUUUUUUUCUUUGGCCUUUUUUUUCUUUUGGCCUUUCCUUUUUUUGGCCUUUUUUUUCUUUGGGACAAUGCUCUAAUAAUGAUGAUCAUCACACUUUUAUUGAUUACAACACAUGAAUUACAACUCGAAACUUAGAACAAGAUAUGACUGUAUAUGAAUGCCUCUGGUGGUGUACCAGGAUGGUGCAAUGAAUCAAGAGUGACAUGUAUGAAAAAUUAUGCAUGGUGGCUUUGCCACAAAUACUAUGUCAACUACAUGAUCAUGCAAUGGCAAUAUGACAAAAGUAAUGCGUGUCAUAAUGAUGAUGAAUGGAAUGGUGGAAAGUUGCAUGGCAAUAUAUCUCGGAAUGGCUAUGAUAAUGCCAUAAUAGGUAGAUACGGUGGCUGUUUUGAGGAAGAUAUAAGGAGGUUUAUGUGUAAUAGAGCGUAUCAUAUCACGGGGUUUGGAUGCACCGGCGAAGUUUGCACCAACUCUCAAGGUGAGAAAGGGCAAUGCACGGUACCGAAGAGGCUAGCAAUGAUGGAAAGGUAAAAGUGCGUAUAAUCCAUGGACUCAACAUUAGUCAAAAGAACUCAUAUACUUAUUGCAAAAAUUUAGAAGUCAUCAAAAACCAAGCACUAUGUGCAUGCUCCUAGAGGGAUAGAUUGGUAGGAAAAGACCAUCGCUCGUCCCCGACCGCCACUCAUAAGGAUGCACAAGCCAGGUACACUUCAUGUUUCAAAUUUGUUACACAACUUUAACCAUACGUGCAUGCUACGGUACUUGCUAACUUCAACACAAGCAUUAUUUAAAUUCAUAAUCACCCAACUAGCAUGAAUUUAAUAUCACUACCUCCAUAUCUCAAAACAAUUAUCAAGUAUCAAAUUGAUCAUAGCAUCCAAUUCACUUCCUAUGAUAGUCCCAACUUGGAUGCUCAUCAUUCUAGGACCAAUUUAUAACCAUAGCAAAUACCAUGCUGUUCUAAAAGACUCCCGAAAUAAUAUAAGUGAAGCAUGAGAGAUCAAAAAUUUCUUCAAAAUUAAACCACCGCCGUGCUAUAAAAGAUAUAAGUGAAGCACUAGAGCAAAAACUAUCUAGCUCAAAAGAUAUAAGUGAAGCACAUAGAGUAUUCUAAUAAAUUUCAAUCAAGUAGGAUUCUCCCAAAAGGUGUGUACAGAAAGGAUGAUUAUGGUAAACUAAAAAGAAAAUACUAAUAUAAUACAUGACGCUUCAAGCAAAACACGUAUCAUGUGGCGAAUAAAAAUAUAGCUCCAAGUAAAGUUACCAAUGAACGAAGACGAAAGAGGGGUUGCCUUCCUGGGGCAUCCCCAAGCUUAGGCUUUUGGCUAUUCUUGAAUAUCUUGGGGUGCCAUGGGCAUCCCCAAGCUUAGGCUUUUGCCACUCCUUAUUCCAUAGUCCAUCAAAUCUUUACCCAAAACUUGAAAACUUCACAACACAAAACUCAACAGGAAAUCUCAUAAGCUCCGUUAGUGAAAGAAAACAAAACCACCACACAAGGUACUGUAAUGAACUCAUUAUUUGUUUAUAUUGGUGUUAAACCAACUGCAUACCAAGUUCUCUAUGGUUCAUACCACUUAAUACUAGCCAUAGAUGCAUCAAAAUAAGCAAAUAACACACGAAAAACAGAAUCUGUCAAAAACAGAACAGUCUGUAGGAAUCUGUAACUAACGCAAACUUCUGGAACUUUAAAAAUCCUAAAAAAAUAGGAAGUCCUGGAAAUUUUCUUUAUUGAACAGCAGCAAAAAUAAUCAAUGCAAAAGCUCGUUUCUGUGGUUUAUUCAAUUUUUUCUCGUGAGGGCAAAGUUUCUGUUUUUCAGCAGAAUCAAAUUAACUAUCAUCGUAGGUUAUCUUAUAGGUUCUACUUGGCACAAACACUAAUUAAAACAUAAAAACACAUCUAAACAGAAGGUAGUUGCAAAAUUUAUUACUAAACAGAAGGUAGAUGCAAACAAAAACAAAAAACA